rnacentral:rRNA from 1 species
UCGGGUGCGAUGGGCGGAGCUGACGCAGCGACGCCGCGUGAGGGUGACGGCCUUCGGGUUGUAAACCUCUUUCAGCAGGGACGAAUGUGACGGUACCUGUAGAAGAAGCACCGGCUAACUACGUGCCAGCAGCCGCGGUAAUUAAUACGGCUUAAGC